ACGGUACAGAGUCAAUGUGGAGGCUAUAUACAGGGGGUACCGGUACAGAGUCAAUGUGGAGACUAUAUACAGGGUAUUACGGUACAGAGUCAAUGUGGAGGCUAUAUACAGGGGGUACCGGUACAGAGUCAAUGUGGAGGCUAUAUACAGGGGGUACCGGUACAGAGUCAAUGUGGAGGCUAUAUACAGGGGGUACCGGUACAGAGUCAAUGUGGAGGCUAUAUACAGGGGGUACCGGUACAGAGUCAAUGUGGAGGCUAUAUACAGGGUAUUACGGUACAGAGUCAAUGUGGAGGCUAUAUACAGGGUAUUACGGUACAGAGUCAAUGUGGAGGCUAUAUACAGGGGGGUGCCGGUACAGAGUCAAUGUGGAGCCUAUAUACAGGGGGGUGCCGGUACAGAGUCAAUGUGGAGGCUAUAUACAGGGGGGUGCCGGUACAGAGUCAAUGUGGAGGCUAUAUACAGGGGGGUGCCGGUACAGAGUCAAUGUGGAGGCUAUAUACAGGGUAUUAUGGUACAGAGUCAAUGUGGAGGCUAUAUACAGGGUAUUACGGUACAGAGUCAAUGUGGAGGCUAUAUACAGGGUAUUACGGUACAGAGUCAAUGUGGAGGCUAUAUACAGGGUAUUACGGUACAGGGUCAAUGUGGAGGCUAUAUACAGGGGGUACCGGUACAGAGUCAAUGUGGAGGCUAUAUACAGGGUAUUACGGUACAGAGUCAAUGUGGAGGCUAUAUACAGGGGGUACCGGUACAGAGUCAAUGUGGAGGCUAUAUACAGGGUGUUACGGUACAGAGUCAAUGUGGAGGCUAUAUACAGGGGGUACCGGUACAGAGUCAAUGUGGAGGCUAUAUACAGGGGGUACCGGUACAGAGUCAAUGUGGAGGCUAUAUACAGGGGGUACCGGUACAGAGUCAAUGUGGAGGCUAUGUACAG
rnacentral:lncRNA from 1 species